CUGAUCUAAGGUCAGUUUCAGCGGUCAGCUAUUGUGCGGUUAAGACUGGUACUGCGAGAGGGUAAACUGAUCCAGAAUGUAUAUGCCUUCGGGCAUACCGACCUCCCAAGCCAGCCACACACACCCACAAGGCUCACUCCUCGAAGUUGCUGUUAUUUGAUCCAUUUUGAAUUUCAGUGCAUGGGUAACAGAGGAUCAGAGCCCCAUAUGAGGACAGAACAUUUCCAAUGACGGAUUUAGAGCACCACAGUGGAGCUGUCACAAUUAUCCGUCAAACCUAGCGGUCAAACAGGGAAAUGGUUCCAAUCCUUUUCCCACCAUUCAUUUUUUCCCAUAGGGGAUUUUUAGAAACACUUAAUAAGGGCUGUGUUUCGUGUAGGCUUACCCUGGCGUGACGUUUUGAUAACCAUGUAAAUUUCUCUAGGACAAGGUGACUUUUAUCAAUAUAUUCGCCUGUAUUUACCCCCCAGAAAUGAAAUGCUAAUUAGAUGCUAAUGUGGCUAUCAUAAAGAACUGCACAUGCCAUGAUGAUCUGAAAGAGACUGCUGAAUCGAGGCAAAGGUAAGAAUCGCUGGAUUAACUAUCUAAUGUUACUCCUAUUCGAAAAUGCUAAUAAGCAUCAACGUAGACAUUGCAAAACUGCAAAUCCCUGUAAGCUCCUCCAUGUCAUCUCUAACUGACACCUUUGCUAACAGGUAGUGUCAAUUUAAAACUUCCCCAUGAUAGUUCACAGAAUUGUACAUUUAAAGAAUUGUAGCCAAUUUAUUCAUUACUACAUUUAGCUAACAUUAGAUAGUUAAUCCAGAGGUUCUUACCUUUGCUUCGAUUCAGCAGUCUCUUUCAGAUCAUCAUGGCAUGUGCAGUUCUUUAAUCUAAUUAGAAUUUCAUUUCUGGGGGGUAAAUACAGGGGAAUAUAUUGAUAAAAGUCACCUUGACCAAGCGAGAUUUACACAGUUAUCAAAACGUCACACCAGGGUAGCCUACAUGAAACACAGCCCUUAUGUUAAGUGUUUCUAAGAUCCCAUAUGGGAAAAAUGAAUGGUGGGAUAAUUAUUGGAACCAUUCCCCAUAUUGGUAUUAUGACUCAUACUGUGGUACUCUAUUCCUCUUGUCAGAUCAGCUAAAAAUAAGGAAUAGGAAACAAUUUUAAGAAAACAUAUUUAAUAUCAGUGUUUUUCUAGACUCCAUGGUGUUUUUUCAUUAAGCUAUCAUGUCAAAUAUUGGUAAAAUUGGGAUUGUGAAUGCACCCCAAGCACGACCGAGUCCUCGACACUGACAAACUACAAGACCCGGAAUACAUUGCGAGAGGAUUGCGACAUAUGUACAUCUGAAAUUUAUUUACCACUUACCGUAUUGUGAUUUAUUUACAUGGCGAUACAGAAAAUAUGUUCAACAAAAAACCACGAAGACAUUUUAGGCAAAAGAAAGGAGAAUCGAGCGAUGAAGCUGAACAGAAGAACGGAGAGGGUGGUGACAUAGGUAAAACACAAGUUACCGCUGAUAGCAUAAAGCCCUUCAAGUUGUCGCAGAACAAGUGGGACUCGAGUGGUGCUGAAGACGUAGUGGAAGAUCACAGAAUUGAUCGAUCGCGGUUACUAGAUCGCCUCACAGCAAAGAGAACAAGGAUGGACGAAAUAAAAUUAACGUGCUCAGCUUCUCUGACGACAAAGUGGUGAUCCCGGACGUGAGGAGGAUCCAGGCAGCAUCAGAAGGCCAGAGCCCAGAAGGACUACAUCUCCCUGGGCAAAGACUGGGAGAGCCCCCAGAACGACAGAUUUUCACAUUGUCAGCUCGGGAAACCAAUCUUGCAACAUUACAGUUAACUAGUCCAACGCAAUAAUGACCUGCCUCUCUCUCGUUGCACUCCACAAGGAGACUGCCUGUUACGCAAAUGCCAAGGGAGUGAUGGUGAUGACAGUGGCUCUGAUGACCAGGUGAGAGAGGAGAAUAACCUGUGGGAGGAGCAACAGAUUGGGAUGCAAGUCAAGCGACACCCUGGGGGAACAGGUAAGAUAUUCACCCCUCUACUUUCUAAGUCUCACACAAACACACUUACUUUCUCUCUCUCACUCCGUCACUUCACCGUCUGUCCGUCCGUGAUGAAAUCUUCAUUCCUCACGACCCUAAGAAGUAAGUGACUUGUGAUUUAUUUAAGUAGUUACUGGAAUUCAUGUGUCAUACCAAGCUUGUCAUGCCGUAGCUUACAGUACUUUACCAGGACGCCCUGGUGUUCUGGCGGGUUUUUAGAUGACAAAUCCUCUCCAAAGAGGCGGUUCAGAGACCAGCCGUUCUAGACAGCCGUGAAGGUACGUAAAACAACACUUGGUUUAAAGGUCUUGUUCCAUGAUGCGUUUUCUAAAAGAGGGUUUAUAGUGCACUGUGGUGACUGACCAUGUGGCUAGUUAGCCCGUAACAACAUCUACCAGUAAAGUCCAGUCAAGAGAUGGAGGGCUUUCGUGUCACAGCUCCUUGCAUGUUGCCUUCUGCAGCUAAUUCCCCUGCCUUUACUGCGUGGUCUCUCUUGCCAUUUCUGUGACAUCCAUUGCUUUAGUGGUGUUUCCAUCUUGCGUGUCAGGUCUUCGGUAACGUGGGCCGGUGGGGUGGUUUGAUACCUGAACACGCUCUAAAGGAGCUUGAUGUUGGACAAACUCCUGAACUGCUACCUGAAUGAUGACACUACUCAACGAGACCCCAUCUCAGGACUCUGUCCAUAAAUGCAAGAAGGUCCCGGCGUGUUUUCCUCAGUCCUGGUUUAAAGACGUGAGCUCCUGUCCCUCUCACCUGAAGUCCUUCAGUGACCAUCUCCUCCAGACAGCCCAUUCAGUAUACAAACAACAGCCUGACCACCCCAACACACGGCCCGUGGUGAGCGACGUGCUAACUUUUCUGGGAAGCAUCAAGGCCUGGGACAAGGGCAGGAAUAUCAGGGACUUCAUUGCUCGGGCUGACACUCAUGUCUCCCCUAUAAGAAAUGACGGAAGACUGGAUGAAGUGACUUCUACCCCUGUCGCAGUUGUGCGGCAUUUAGGGAUUCCUGUAAAAAAAUAUUUUUAAAAAAGUGAACGUAUUCAGCAGCUCAGCCACUGGCUAACAAUACAUUAUCAAACAGUUCCUCACUCGCAGCUCUUUUAAUGCCAUAUACCUUAUCUCUUGUCCAUGCAAUAAGCAAUAUGUGGGCAAAACCAGUAAGAACCAGACCGACAAGAACACGUAUUAUAGAACACAAGAGUGCUGUAAGGAGAAAUGACUCUAAAUCUAUCGCUCGUCAUUUCUCAGAGGCCGGUCGCCCCGUCUCUUCCACAUCCUUCUGUGUUAAACAGCAGAUAAAACGUUCACGAAGGGGUGUCCAUCUUCAAUGAGGUCUUCUCCAGAUAGAAUGCAGGUGGAUGUUCUAUUUAAAAAUUCUACACCCAUCAUAACUGGUAUAUUUCCUCUUUGUGUUUUAUACCCCCAUCUAGUGGUGUCUCUAGCUUCCUACUCUUUAAAUCCUGUGUUAUUUCUUAUGAGGAAAUGUUCACAUGGUACAGUAUAUGUAUAGGCAGUAAUUUAUGAUGUUUCGCUUUUGUAUAUUUUGUAUACAAUGUAGAUCAUGCAUUCUAUUGUACUAGGUACUGUCAUUUACAAAAUAGCCCCCAACACUCUACUCAAUUAAAUUGGAUGCAGUCUAUCACAGUGCCAUCCAUUUUUGUCACCAAAGCCCCAUAUACUAACCACCACUGCGACCUGUCCACUCUCGUUGGCUGGCCCUCGCUUCAUACUCUUCGCCAAACCCACUGGCUUCAGGUCAUCUACAAGUCUUUGCUAGGUAAAGCCCCGCCUUAUCUCAGCUCACUGGUCACCAUAGCAGCACCCACCCGUAGCACGCGAUCCAGCAGGUAUAUCUCUCUAGUCACCCCCAAUGCCAAUUCCUCCUUUGGCUGCCUUUCCUUGCAGUUCUCUGCUGCUGAUGACUGGAAUGAAUUGCAAAAAUCACUGAAGCUGGAGACUCUUACCUCCCUCACUAGCUUUAAGCACCAGCUGUCAGAGCAGCUCACAUAUCACUGCACCUGUACAUAGCCCAUCUGUAAAUAGCCCAUCCAGCUACUUCAUCCCCAUACUGUAUUUAUUUAUUUAUCUUGCUUCUUUGCACCCCUGUAUCUCUACUUGCACAUUCAUCUUCUGCACAUCAAUCACUCUAGUGUCUAAUCAGUAUAUUGUAAUUACUUCGCCACCAUGGCCUAUUUAUUGCCUUACCUCCCUUUUCUUACCCCAUUUGCACACACUGUAUAUAGAUUUUCUUCAACUGUAUUAUUGACUGUACAUUUUGUUUAUUCCAUGUGUAACUCUGUGUUGUGGUAUGUGCCAAACUGCUUUGCUUUAUUCUUGGCCAGGUCUCAGAUGUAAAUGAGAACUUGUUCUCAACUUGCCUACCUGGCUAAAUAAAGGUGAAAUAAAAUAAAUAAAUACAAUUUAUAGAUUUUCUGAUGUAUUUUCUUGCCCGAUCAUGUGACAUAUGCAAUUAUCAUUGCAAUAGAAACCAGGUGUGUGUGCUGAUAAUUUACACUGAUGAUGGCCUGAGGCUGAAACGUUUGUUUUUACCUUUAAUUUAUGCACUUUCUUGCACUGAUAUAUUCUCUGGGCACCAUGAUUGUUGCAAUAAACAUCUUUAUUUUGA